rnacentral:rRNA from 1 species
AUUGAACGCUGGCGGCAGGCCUAACACAUGCAAGUCGAACGAGUGGCGGACGGGUGAGUAAUGUCUGGGAAACUGCCUGAUGGAGGGGGAUAACUACUGGAAACGGUAGCUAAUACCGCAUACCAUCAGAUGUGCCACGAUGGGAUUAGCUAGUUGGUGGGGUAAGGGCUAACCAAGGCGACGAUCCAUAGCUGGUAUGAGAAGAUGACCAGCCCGACGGGAACUGAGACACGGGCCAGACUCCGACGGGAGGCAGCAGUGGGGAAUAUGGCACAAUGGGCGCAAGCCUGAUGCAGCCAUGCCGCGUGUAUGAAGAAGGCCUGCGGGUUGUAAAGUACUUUCAGCGGGGAGGCGUUACCCGCAGAAGAAGCACCGGCUAACUCCGUGCCAGCAGCCGCGGUAAUAC